AGCUCAGUUGGUAGAGCAUCUGACUUUUAAUCAGAGGGUCAGAGGUUCGAAUCCUCUAUGGC
rnacentral:tRNA from 1 species